CGAUCUAACUUCUAGAUAAAACCCUAUCCAUUUGACAUCUAAAUGUCAUACCUACUUUUGGUAUAGUUUGCUAUUGGUAAAAUAUAUAUAGAGAGAACUAUAUAUCAAGGGAAGGCGAGCAAAUGGUUUUGGAUCUGACAGUCCACCUCAUAUUCUUCUCAAAAUCGCUUCAGAAGUACCUAAACAGUGGGAGAUUAAGUUUGAGUUUUCCUUUGUGUAUGGAGUGGACCCAAACCUACGCAGAUCUGUUUUAUUGGCAUGGGAACGUGAGAUUAAAAGAGAAACUUGACUGUCUAUUGGGGGAAGAAAAAAAAACCUGCAUUGAACAAUGAAGUUAGUUGCUUUGCAGGAGGCAAACACUCAGACAUUUGAUUAGAAAGUUACGCAAAAUGUGUAUCAGAAUAAAACCAGGAACAUCUGGGAUGAUUUGCGCAGCAUGCGGAAUCUGGGCUUUGAAGUAUGAAUUCCUGAUAAUUAAAUGAUUUCCAGAACCUUGUGCUCCAGGACUGCGGUGGACUGCCCUCCUUGAAGAAACCACCCACGUAAUAAUGACCCCGGAGAGCAAAACAAAACCCAACUGGCUUCAAUGCAAACUUCGCCAAAUGACUGGGCUCGCCUGAAGACAGGCAAACUGGCAGGAUAAUUCUGCUCUGGAGGGGUGAAAAAUAAAAUAUAUCCGCGGCAAUAACCCACAUAGGGUUUGGCUGGUUAUUAUUUUUUUAAGGCAGUAGCUAAAAGACACCGUGACCAAAGUCCAAAGCAGCCUUGGUUCCAAGUCAGAUAUCUACUAUAUCCAGCUUCCGUGAUGAGAUGAGAGAGAGAGAAAGAAAGAAAGAAAGAAGCCAUUUAACAGUUACGCCUAAUUCCACGCGGUCUGCUUUAUUCCAGUAUUUCUGUUACGCACAUAUUUCUAGAACUGCGUACAUCUCCCACUUGAAAAAUAUGGUGGUUUAUUGCGCACAUUGGAAAUGUUAAAGAGAGAGAGCGAGAGAGAGACGCUAGCAAGUGCUUAAAAUUAGUUACCAUUGUUUUGCAUUGUUGAUUUUCCUGAGUUUAAUUGGCUUAAUUUAUUUUAUGUGUGCUUUGAUGUUAAACAUUAUUUGAUGCUAAUGAAAUAGUCACAGUCCACAAUAAAGCAUUCGAAAGGGUGGGGAGGGGACAACAAACCCCAAACCAUGGCAAAAUAUCUUGUGUCCUUGGUAAAGGGUCAGAUUAGUCACACGAAUCUAUAUAUAAUAUAUAGAUAGGGUUUUUUUUUUUAAUUGUUUCUUGCUUCUCUGCUUUUACCUU